UUAAUAGAAGCCAAAUAGAGGCAUAUCACCGUUAAUGAUAUAAUUGAAAUUUUUUUCCUAUUAAG
rnacentral:tRNA from 1 species